rnacentral:rRNA from 1 species
AUUGAACGCUGGCGGCAGGCCUAACACAUGCAAGUCGCACGAGUGGCGGACGGGUGAGUAAUGCUUGGGAAUCUGGCUUAUGGAGGGGGAUAACGACGGGAAACUGUCGCUAAUACCGCGUACCAUCGGAUGAGCCCAAGUGGGAUUAGGUGGUUGGUGGGGUAAUGGCCCACCAAGCCGACGAUCACUAGCUGGUCUGAGAGGAUGAUCCGCCACACUGGGACUGAGACACGGCCCAGACUCCGACGGGAGGCAGCAGUGGGGAAUAUUGCGCAAUGGGGGCAGCCUGACGGAGCCAUGCCGCGUGAAUGAAGAAGGCCUUCGGGUUGUAAAGUACUUUCGGUGGGGAGGCGUUAAUCACAGAAGAAGCACCGGCUAACUCCGUGCCAGCAGCCGCGGUAAUAC